CUGGGAAUGUUUACAUCCGACACUCUCGCAAACAUCCUCUCCACAUCAACUCUAUCGGGGCCUUUCAGUAGUCGAUAGGUUUCUGAGGCUUUUAUGGCGGUGAGCAAACAGCUUUAAGGAUGUGAGUAGAACAACACUUCUUUCCCAUCCCAACUACUCUCGAACAGGGUGGAUUACUGAGCCAUUUCACAGUGCGGUUACAGGGAGCAGGAAUUCAG